AUCGGAUUCUGAGUUAAAAUGAAAAUCCCAGCAUUGCCCCCAGGGAGAGGGUAUGGCUCUGUCUUAAACACACAAGCACAGUUCAAGCCUGUGGACCUCUGGGAGGAGAAAUACACUGAAGAACAAGGGCUCACUCACUCACCUAGUGUCAUCUGCGAAUCACUCAGCUAUUGCCGCCCCGCCGACACACAGUGGGCGAGAUACGAGCUGUGAUAUUAGAUGGGAGGGAGAAUUCAGAUCCAUCGGCCUUGAGAUUGUUUACGGUGAUGGGAGCGAUUCCUGCGAGAAAAAGAAGCAGAGCUACCAGGACCACUGAAGCCAUUAAGUGCUCCAAAGGAUGUCCUUGUCAGGGCAAACAACCCCGACUCCCACGCCCACACCUCAACCUUCCUCAAUCGGGGACCUUGUCCAGUUGUCAUCAGAGAUGGGAGCAGUUGCAGAGACCCACAGCUAGAAAUGUUUCAGAGAGAGAAUCUAGGAGGUCUCCACUGGGCCUUCCCCCUCAGAGAUCAGAGAACCCUACAGAAGAUCGGCAAGAAAGACACACCAGGGAGUCAGAGGGGUUGGAGGACACCAGGAGAACAUGUUCUACCAAAUCAACUAAGCAGAGCUCAUUUGAACUCAGAGACUGAAGUGGCAAGCAUAGGACCUUCUUGGGUCUGCAUUAAGUCCUCUGUGUAUACAUUAUGACUGUUAGCUUGGUAUUUUGUGGGACUCCUACCAGUGGGAGUGGGGACUCUUUUGCCUGCUCUUGGAACUCUUUUUCUCUUAUUGGGUUGCCUUGUCUAGACCUGAUAUGAAGGCUUUUGCCUUGUCUUAUUGUACCCCCCCAUUUUGUUUGUUAUUAUAGCAUCUUUGCUUAAUUUACAGCAAGCAGAAAAUAAGCUGGGUCUUGUUUUGAUCCAAACAUUGAUGUUUUAAAGGUUGUACACAAUAUUUGUUAAAAAGAACAUAGAAAAAUAUCCUUUUUAGGAGCUUCUUUAAGAAAGAAAACACAAAGUUUAACUGUACAACUUUCCUCUUUGCUAGAAUUGCAAACUAUCACUACAGUUUUAGACUUUGUUGUUUAAACUAU
rnacentral:lncRNA from 1 species